GCCGGGGUAGCCUAGCCUGGUUUGGGCGCCAGACUCAUAAUCUGGAGGUCGCGGGUUCGAAUCCCGCCCCCGGCACCA
rnacentral:tRNA from 1 species